rnacentral:lncRNA from 1 species
AGCCUCCACCCGCCACCCCAGGAACCUCGUGCUUCUAGGUUACCCUGAUGGGCAGGACCCACUCCCAUCACUAAGAGAACAUCAAAAGGGCAGGUGUGGGGGUGGAUAGGAAGAUCAGGAUCUCUGAAAGGAUGUUUUUCAGAAAUUUGCAUUGUGGUAACCUACAGACUCCACCUGGACCCAUGAUUCAUGACUCAACCAGUCCACCCAGAAGCUGACUCAGAGCAUAAGGAGCAUUUUCCACACCCCUAGGAUUUCAUCUCCAACCAAUCAGCAUUCCCCAUUCUCUAGCCCCUGUCCACCAAACUAUUCUUUAAAAACCUUAGCUCUAAGCUUUAUUUAUUUAUUUAAGUAAUACACUCCUGUCUUCCACUUAGCUGGUUCUGUAUUUAUUAAACUCUUUCUCUACUGCCAUACCGCUAUCUCAGUAAAUUAGCUCUAUCUGUGCAGUUGGCAAGAAGAACUGGUCAGGUGGUUAAAACACUACAGAUAGGCAUUGUUAAACAAAACAAUGGACUAAGCCCCUGCACUAGGCUCCAACAGAACAGACAAAAUCAAAAUGGAGUCACUCAUGCUAAAUGUCAUAUAAUCAAACUGAAACUCUAAGGAAGCUGAUAAAUCCUAAAACAGACCUUUUUUUUUCCUGAAAACAGGAAAUUUCAGUCUACCAGAGUCAACCUAGUAAGAAAGUUGCCUCUUCUUUGACCUUUAUGAGAAAGUAACCUGAAGUAACCUGACAUUAAUGAAUCAGCUUCUCUUCUACUAUUCUGUUUCCUUACUCCCACCUUACAAAGCUCACUGCUCUGCUUGCCCUAGUGAGAGAACUCAUUCUAUUGUGUAGAGUAGAGUCAGCCAUGAUUCAUGAAUUAUGAAUAAAAGACAAUUAGAUCUAUAA